GUCUAGGUAGUAUAGUGGUUAGUAUGCUCGCUUGUGGCUGCCUUGUAAUUGUCAUCGCGAUCGACCCUGGUUCGAUUCCGGGCCUGGACA